rnacentral:rRNA from 1 species
CCUACGGGAGGCAGCAGUGAGGAAUAUUGGUCAAUGGACGCAAGUCUGAACCAGCCAUGCCGCGUGCAGGAAGACGGCUCUAUGAGUUGUAAACUGCUUUUGUACGAGGGUAAACUCAGAUACGCGUAUCUGUCUGAAAGUAUCGUACGAAUAAGGAUCGGCUAACUCCGUACCAGCAGCCGCGGUAAUACGGAGGAUUCAAGCGUUAUCCGGAUUUAUUGGGUUUAAAGGGUGCGUAGGCGGGCGGAUAAGUUAGCGGUGAAAUCCCGAGGCUCAACCUCGGAAUUGCCUCUGAUACUGUCAGGCUAGAGAGUAGUUGCGGUAGGCGGAAUGUAUGGUGUAGCGGUGAAAUGCUUAGAGAUCAUACAGAACACCGAUUGCGAAGGCAGCUUACCAAGCUACGUCUGACGUUGAGGCACGAAAGCGUGGGGAGCAAACAGGAUUAGAUACCCGGGUAGUC